UCUCUGUCCUCUCUCUGUUCCCUCUCUGUCCCCUUUCUGUUCCCCUCAGGGUCUGCGUUCUGGUCCUGUCUUCCUGCUAUCUGGCCUUCAGGAUCGUUUCACUGGAACAGAAACUGACGAUGCUCGGCUCCAUCAGCGACUUCACGCAUCACGAAAGCAGUCUCCUUCCUGGGAGUCCUGAUGUGAACACGGAGCUCUUCUCUGAACUGUUGGCCAUCAACCUGCUGAAGCUGGAGAAGGUCCAGAAGAAUCUGCAGAGGCUGCUGGAAGAAGCUGCAUGACUGAACUGGGAACCAGUAUGAGAGCUUUGUACAUAAACUGUGAAUAUUUAAUUUAUUCUAUGCAGGCAGUAAAACGGGAACCUGCUGCAGCCGAGGCCUGAGAAAUUAAUCAAACUGUAAACUGACUGACUUUCUGUUAAAUUCAUGCUGGCAGUGAAACCGACGCCUACUUUUAGAAACAAACAGUGACGUCGCCCUCUACCUGCAGGAAAAGUAUCUGCAUCCGAUAACUGUAAAGAAGCCAUCAGAACCAAACUGGAUCAAUGUGAACAAUUAACUGGCUUUGACUAGGCCAAAACACAUCUCCAAAGGUGGAGCUGCUGGUGGGAAUCAGUAGCUGCGUUUCCGUUACAAAUGUACGCUAAGCUGUGUUAAUGUCACGCUAAUGUCGAAAAACAGAGUUUUAUAAUUGCAGUGUUUCCAUUAAAUCAGAAACACAAUUAAAAUCAAACAGGA